GAGCGGACGGGGAGCAGCCCAGAGCCUGAAUCAGUGUGUGUGUUAGUGGAAGCGUCUGGAAAGGCGUGCGAUACAGGGUGACAGCCCCGUACACAAAAAUGCACAUAUUGUGAGCUUGAUGAGUAGGGCGGGACACGUGGUAUCCUGUCUGAAUAUGGGGGGACCAUCCUCCAAGGCUAAAUACUCCUGACUGACCGAUAGUGAACCAGUACCGUGAGGGAAAGGCGAAAAGAACCCCGGCGAGGGGAGUGAAAAAGAACCUGAAACCGUGUACGUACAAGCAGUGGGAGCACGCUUAGGCGUGUGACUGCGUACCUUUUGUAUAAUGGGUCAGCGACUUAUAUUCUGUAGCAAGGUUAACCGAAUAGGGGAGCCGAAGGGAAACCGAGUCUUAACUGGGCGUUAAGUUGCAGGGUAUAGACCCGAAACCCGGUGAUCUAGCCAUGGGCAGGUUGAAGGUUGGGUAACACUAACUGGAGGACCGAACCGACUAAUGUUGAAAAAUUAGCGGAUGACUUGUGGCUGGGGGUGAAAGGCCAAUCAAACCGGGAGAUAGCUGGUUCUCCCCGAAAGCUAUUUAGGUAGCGCCUCGUGAAUUCAUCUCCGGGGGUAGAGCACUGUUUCGGCA
rnacentral:rRNA from 1 species